GGCAACGUGGCGGAGUGGUUAACGCGAUUGACUCGAAAGGCCAGCAAAAUACAAUUGCUGGCUUAGAUAUCAAUUUCCUUCGGGAGCGCAUGUUCGAAUCAUGCCGUUGUCG